UUCAAAUUUAUUUCUUCUCUCACUUUUUAAGAUCGUAAUCAUUCUUUCUCCUACGAAAAAAAUAACAAUUUGUUUCUUCAAUAAUGUAUGUAUUUUUCUUCGAAUUUUAAGGCCCUAAUCAUCCAUUCUUAUACUUGGAAAAAUGAUUGCACAAGCAGAGAUUCAAGCUCGUGAUAUGGGAGAAGCGUGCGGAUGAGGAGAUUUUGACACAUGGUGUGUGGUAAGAGGUGGAAGGUUGGACGUGCGUUUGAGUUUGAGAUAAUUCCAUAAAAUAAAUGGUGCGUCUGGGGCUAAAGUUUGUGACCUGAGGGUGGAUUGCUCCUGAAGGUUUCUUUCAUAAUUUAUCGGCCAAUGAUGAGGCUAUUUAAGUGUCAAGGUGGUUCUAAUAUCUUCUGGCCACUGAAUGGAAAUGAUGCAAAUUUUGUAGGCAAUCGUUUUGAUCUGGAUCUUGGUUCUUUGUAGAAACCUAUGAGUCCAAGAUGAGCAUGGUGAUGAAGUGAAAUGAAAAGUGAACUCAUUUGUAUGCAUGGCGCUGAAGGAAAGUUUAAUUAUCUAAUCGUAAUGAAUUGCACUUUAAUAGUUUAAGACGAUACAAAACAUUUAUUAAUUUUGAAUUCGUGCCCGAGCAACCUUUCUGCGCCUUUGCCAUACUAGCUCGCCUAUCGGAAUCCAAAUACAUAAAGUUAAGCUAUGAUUUAUAUC